AACCAUCUUGUUAGUUGCUGAAGAGAGUUU
rnacentral:piRNA from 1 species